rnacentral:rRNA from 6 species
AGCGUAUAUUAAAGUUGUUGCAGUUAAAAAGCUCGUAGUUGGAUCUCGGGCGCCGGCGGGCGGUUCGCCUCGCGGCGGUUACUGCCCGCUCGGGCCUUUCUCUGGCGGUUCACUGCGGUCGUGCUCUUCACUGAGUGCCUGCGGUGUCCGGCACAUUUACUUUGAAAAAAUUAGAGUGCUCAAGGCAGGCGGAACGCCUGAAUGAUGCUGCAUGGAAUAAUGGAAUAGGACCUCGGUUCUAUUUUGUUGGUUUUCGGAACUUGAGGUAAUGAUUAAGAGGGACUGCCGGGGGCAUUCGUAUUACGGUGUUAGAGGUGAAAUUCUUGGAUCGCCGUAAGACGAACAACUGCGAAAGCAUUUGCCAAGAAUGUUUUCAUUAAUCAAGAACGAAAGUCAGAGGUUCGAAGACGAUCAGAUACCGUCGUAGUUCUGACCAUAAACGAUGCCAACUAGCGAUCGGAGGGAGUUG